UUUUGCGCCGCGCUCGUCACUCGCUGGUUGGGUGGACUAGGGGACAGCUUUUAAAAGAGUUUGUUAUGGUUUCCUGCAGCUAGACAGGAGGUAUCUAGCUGUGAUUUACCCACUUUGAUCCAGGGAAAAGUUGCUUUGAGGCUUGAUACAGCAGAUUUUCGAAGUUAAUUGAGCUUAUUUGGUGACCUUGGGGACUGGUUUAGAAGG